rnacentral:rRNA from 1 species
AUUGAACGCUGGCGGCAGGCCUAACACAUGCAAGUCGAACGGUAGCACAGAGAGCUUGCUCUCGGGUGACGAGUGGCGGACGGGUGAGUAAUGUCUGGGAAACUGCCCGAUGGAGGGGGAUAACUACUGGAAACGGUAGCUCAUACCGCAUAACGUCGCAAGACCAAAGUGGGGGACCUUCGGUGCUCACACCAUCGGAGGUGCCCAGAUGGGAUUAGCUAGUAGGUGGGGUAAUGGCUCACCUAGGAGACGACCCCUAGCUGGUCUGAGAGGAUGACCAGACACACUGGAACUGAGACACGGUACAGACUCCUACGGGAGGAAGCAGUGGGGAAUAUUGCACAAUGGGCGCAAGACUGAUGCAGCCAUGCCGCGUGUAUGAAGAAGGCCUUCGGGUUGUAAAGUACUUUCAGCGGGGAGGAAGGCGGUGAAGUUAAUAACUUACCCGCUUGACGUUACCCGCAGAAGAAGCACCGGCUAACUCCGUGCCAGCCGCCGCGGUAA